rnacentral:rRNA from 1 species
AGGACGAACGCUGGCGGCGUGCUUAACACAUGCAAGUCGAGCGGUAAGGCCUCUUCGGGGGUACACGAGCGGCGAACGGGUGAGUAACACGUGGGUGACCUGCCCUCAGCUCUGGGAUAAGCCUGGGAAACUGGGUCUAAUACUGGAUAUUCACUUCCUAUCGCAUGGUGGGUGGUGGAAAGUUUUUUCGGCUGGGGAUGGGCCCGCGGCCUAUCAGCUUGUUGGUGGGGUGAUGGCCUACCAAGGCGACGACGGGUA